GAUGAAGAACGUAGUGAAAUGCGAUAACUAGUGUGAAUUGCAGAAUUCCGUGAAUCAUCGAGUCUUUGAACGCACAUUGCGCCCCCUGGUAUUCCGGGGGGCAUGCCUGUCCGAGCGUCAUUGCUGCCCAUCAAGCACGGCUUGUGUGUUGGGUCGUCGUCCCCUCUCCGGGGGGGACGGGCCCCAAAGGCAGCGGCGGCACCGCGUCCGAUCCUCGAGCGUAUGGGGCUUUGUCACCCGCUCUGUAGGCCCGGCCGGCGCUUGCCGACACAUCAAUCUUUUUUCCAGGUUGACCUCGGAUCAGGUAGGGAUACCCGCUGAACUUAAGCAUAUCAAUAAGCGGAGGA
rnacentral:misc_RNA from 1 species